AUUGAACGCUGACGGAAUGCUUUACACAUGCAAGUCGAACGGUAGAGGGGGCAACCCCUCGAGAGUGGCGAACGGGUGAGUAAUAUAUCGGAACGUGCCCAGUCGUGGGGGAUAACGUAGCGAAAGUUACGCUAAUACCGCAUACGAUCUAAGGAUGAAAGCGGGGGAUCGCAAGACCUCGCGCGAUUGGAGCGGCCGAUAUCAGAUUAGGUAGUUGGUGGGGUAAAGGCUCACCAAGCCAACGAUCUGUAGCUGGUCUGAGAGGACGACCAGCCACACUGGAACUGAGACACGGUCCAGACUCCUACGGGAGGCAACAGUGGGGAAUUUUGGACAAUGGACGCAAGUCUGAUCCAGCCAUUCCGCGUGCAGGAUGAAGGCCCUCGGGUUGUAAACUGCUUUUGUACGGAACGAAAAGGUCUCUCUUAAUACGGGGGGCUCAUGACGGUACCGUAAGAAUAAGCACCGGCUAACUACGUGCCAGCAGCCGCCGCGG
rnacentral:rRNA from 1 species